GUGAAUCAUCGAAUCUUUGAACGCACCUUGCGCUCUUGGGUAUUCCCAAGAGCAUGCCUGUUGGAGUGUCAUGAAUCCCUCAACACGAACCGUUUUUUUUAAUGAAAGCGAGUUUGAUCGUUGGAUGUGAGCGCAAUGCCUUUCGCAAGAAUGGCUCGCUUGAAAUGGAUUUGUGGGCUGCUCAUGUGCACAACAAUGUGCUCGGAUAGCAUCUUGGCCUUUUCAUCGUUAUGGUUUUCCUUCGAUGAAGUCUGGGCCUUGAGGCAACAUGUUCGAGCGGGCAUUGGCACCGAGUUGGCU
rnacentral:misc_RNA from 1 species